UGGUUUUGCUGUUUUGUGUCUGGGCAGGAGC
rnacentral:piRNA from 1 species